AGCGAACGCUAGCGGCAGGCUUAACACAUGCAAGUCGAGGGGUAGAGGAAGCUUGCUUCCUUGAGACCGGCGCACGGGUGCGUAACGCGUAUGCAACCUACCUUUUACAGAGGGAUAGCCCAGAGAAAUUUGGAUUAAUACCUCAUGGUAUAUAUCAUUCGCAUGUUUGAUAUAUUAAAGUUCCAACGGUAAAAGAUGGGCAUGCGUCCUAUUAGCUAGAUGGUAAGGUAACGGCUUACCAUGGCAACGAUAGGUAGGGGUCCUGAGAGGGAGAUCCCCCACACUGGUACUGAGACACGGACCAGACUCCUACGGGAGGCAGCAGUGAGGAAUAUUGGACAAUGGGCGCAAGCCUGAUCCAGCCAUGCCGCGUGCAGGAAGAAGCAUCUAUGGUGUGUAAACUGCUUUUGUACGGGAAGAAACACUCCUUCGUGAAGGAGCUUGACGGUACCGUAAGAAUGAGGAUCGGCUAACUCCGUGCCAGCAGCCGCGGUAAGAC
rnacentral:rRNA from 1 species